UCCGGCUUGUCACCGGCAGUUUCUCCAAAGUGCCCGGCCGAACCGCUGGCAACUGGAGACGAGGGUUGCGCUCGUUGCGGGACUUAACCCAACACCUCACGGCACGAGCUGACGACAGCCGUGCAGCACCUGCGCACGCUCCCUUGCGGGUCCCUCCCCUUUCAGGUCGGUACCACGUGCAUGUCAAGCCCGGGUAAGGUUCUUCGCGUUGCAUCGAAUUAAACCACACGCUCCGCUGCUUGUGCGGGCCCCCGUCAAUUCCUUUGAGUUUUAGCCUUGCGGCCGUAGUCCCCAGGCGGUCAACUUCACGCGUUAGCUUCGUUACCAAGGAAUAACUUCCCCGACAACUAGUUGACAUCGUUUAGGGCGUGGACUAC
rnacentral:misc_RNA from 1 species